AUUGAACGCUGGCGGCAGGCCUAACACAUGCAAGUCGAGCGGAUGAAGGGAGCUUGCUCCUGGAUUCAGCGGCGGACGGGUGAGUAAUGCCUAGGAAUCUGCCUGGUAGUGGGGGAUAACGUCCGGAAACGGGCGCUAAUACCGCAUACGUCCUGAGGGAGAAAGUGGGGGAUCUUCGGACCUCACGCUAUCAGAUGAGCCUAGGUCGGAUUAGCUAGUUGGUGGGGUAAAGGCCUACCAAGGCGACGAUCCGUAACUGGUCUGAGAGGAUGAUCAGUCAAACUGGAAAUGAGAAACGGGCCAGACUCCUAAGGGGGGGAGCAGUGGGGAAUGUUGGGCAAUGGGGGAAAGCCUGAAGCAGGCCAGGCGCGGGGGUGAAAAAGGUCUUCGGAUUGUAAAACUCUUUUAUUUGGGAAGAAGGGGUGGGAAGGUAACUCUUCGCGUUUUUACGGUACCCAACAAAAAAGCCACGGCUAAAUUCGGG
rnacentral:rRNA from 1 species